rfam:Halalkalicoccus jeotgali B3, complete genome.
CCUGCUACCGUCGGGUCGCAGGCAGGAAUGUGGUCCGCGCGACCGGGCGCGGACUGAACCACCCA